GCCUAGAUUAGCAUACGGGGCGGGGCUCGCUGCGCCCCGCCUUCUCUGCGGCUGCACCGCCCCGCGGGGGUUCGGUUCCGAGCGUCGCCUUCCUCUACGGUCUCCGUGUGGAGCCCGGCCGCGGGGUUCUAACGGUCCAGCCCGCAGGGACUCAGGACUGCGGUCUACCCCCGACCUCCUCACACCUUCCGGGGUGACCUGAGGGCGGAGCCUGAGUCCUGUGUCCCCGGUUGCACCGCCCCCAACCACCCCCGUCCCCUGUCGACCCCGUCUCCAGUCUCUUCCAAACCGGCCGGCCCCCGGCCUAGCAAUUCGAGAUUUCUCCCGUGGCUUCCGAGGAAAAGGAGGCCCCUACCCUGUAUCUGUGCCCUCCUUUGCAUCAGGGACCUAAACUGCUGUUUUGGAGAGGUUGUCUCUACCCCUCAGCUUGGUUGGUUUGAAACCCUGCACGACCUGUGAAGUCUUCCCCGGAUGGCUACAUCGUCUGGGGUCCCUUGUCCUGCCUGUACCCACAGCAAGCCCACGAAUCCAGGGCUUCCCUUGUUUCUGGAACAGCAACAGGAGGCCACCCUUCGGCUUGAGCCCUCCCCACCGCCCUCCACCGCCUGACUCUGACUUCUGGAAAGAGGAAUCUUCUCUGAGUGUCUCCAGCUCCUCCCCAGCCUGCUGCCCUAGCAGGUUGCUGGUGACCAAGCUGACAGUUUGUUAGGCUGUCUGAGGGGCCUGUCUGCUGCCUCAGCCUGCUGUCUGCCUCCCUGCCCCUCCACUCUCUCUAGUUCACCCCCACCUGCCCUGCUGCCCAUGGCUUUCCUCGAGUCACAAGGAGAAGCAAAGACGGGCCCAGGCGCUGAAGCCUCAGCGUCUCUGCAGGUUCUGGGUGUUUCCAGGGCUCUGCCUGCCAUGCCCUGGGUGAUCACCCAUACAUUUCCACACCUGAAGCCAUCCGGGCAAGUGUAUGCCUGAAUGCUUGCCCCAGGCCCAGCCCCCAUAACUCCAGGCACUCAGGGUCCAUAGCCCAGAGCAGGGAGCUAGCACGGCUGGGCGGGGGGAGGCUGCAUGCUGGAGCAGAAUUCAGACUAAUGA
ensembl:lncRNA